AUCGAACGCUGGCGGCAGGCCUAACACAUGCAAGUCGAGCGAGCGGCGGACGGGUGAGUAAUGUAUGGGGACUGCCCGAUAGAGGGGGAUCACUACUGGAAACGGUAGCUAAUACCGCAUACUAGCGGAUAACCCAUAUGGGAUUAGCUAUUAGGUGAGGUAAUGGCUCACGUAGGCGACGAUCCCUAGCUGAUCUGAGAGGAUGAUCAGACACACUGGGACGGAGACACGGCCCAGACUCCUACGGAGGCAGCAGUGGGGAAGAUUGGACAAUGGGCGCAAGCCGGAUGCAGAAAUGCAGCGUGUAUGAAGAAGGCCCUAGGGUGGUAAAGUACUUUCAGUCGGGAGGCGUUAACGAAAGAGGAAGCACCGGCUAACUACGUGCCAGCAGCCGCGGUAAUUC
rnacentral:rRNA from 1 species